rfam:Clostridium hathewayi WAL-18680 genomic scaffold supercont1.1, whole genome shotgun sequence.
UUGAUGAUUCCGGGAGAGACCGCCAGUCAGGAUGGCGGCGCCGAAGGGGAGAGAAACUCUCAGGCAGAAGGACCGGAAUCGGACG